rnacentral:rRNA from 1 species
AUUGAACGCUGGCGGCAGGCCUAACACAUGCAAGUCGAACGAGUGGCGGACGGGUGAGUAAUGUCUGGGAAACUGCCUGAUGGAGGGGGAUAACUACUGGAAACGGUAGCUAAUACCGCAUACCAUCGGAUGUGCCCAGAUGGGAUUAGCUAGUAGGUGGGGUAAAGGCUCACCUAGGCGACGAUCCCUAGCUGGUCUGAGAGGAUGACCAGCCACACUGGGACUGAGCCACGGGCCAGACUCCGACGGGAGGCAGCAGGGGGGAAAAUUGCACAAUGGGGGCAAGCCGUAUGCAGCCAUGCCGCGUGUAUGAAGGAGGCCUUCGGGUUUUAAAGUACUUUCAGCGGGGAGGCGUUACCCGCAGAAGAAGCACCGGCUAACUCCGGGCCAGCAGCCGGGGUAAUAC